rnacentral:rRNA from 1 species
UGCAGGCUGCAACCCGCCUGCAUGAAGCCGGAAUCGCUAGUAAUCGCGGAUCAGAAUGCCGCGGUGAAUACGUUCCCGGGUCUUGUACACACCGCCCGUCACACCAUGGGAGUCGAUAACGCCCGAAGUCAGUGACCCAACCGAAAGGAGGGAGCUGCCGAAGGCGGGAUUGGUAACUGGGGUGAAGUCGUAACAAGGUAAC